rnacentral:lncRNA from 1 species
UUUGAAUAAGAUAUUAAAGUUAUACUUUUGUAAAUGAGAAAUAUACUGAUAAAUGAGAAGUAGCUAAGAGGGAUACAACACAUACAAAAAUUAUACUGGUUCACCAUAAUUUGAACCACAUCUAAUACCUACACUUGUAGGCUUUCUCAAUUAAGACCAAACACUCAACUUUAAUAUUCUUUCUUCUGAAGCAUUCACAAGCUCCUACGUCUAGUAUUGUAAACCUGUGCAAGUUCCACUCAAUAUUCUUUGUUAGGCUCUAUUGGUUACACCACCACUCAAUAUUCUAAACUUCUAUAGGUUGCACUCAAUAUUUGUUAAGCCUCUACUGACUCUACCUAAGUAUUAUUUCAAAAAGUAUAUCCAAGAUUCACACCCAAAGUAACAACUACUACUUGGCUCACACAACACUUGUGUUCACACCAACUUUAGAAACAAUAAUCCCCUAAUUGUUUUUGAGUUCUUUCCUCUAUCU